UGUACCGGAAGGUGUACCUGAAC
rnacentral:rRNA from 1 species